ACGAACGCUGGCGACGUGCCUAAUGCAUGCAAGUCGAACGCAGGGAGCUUGCUCCGCUGCGUGGCGCACGGCUGAGGAACACGUGGGAAUCAACCCCGGAGUGGGGGAUAUCGCCGCGAAAGCGGUGACAAUCCCGCAUACGGUCCGCAAGGACGAAAGGCGCAAGCCGCUCCGGGACGAGCCUGCGGCCCAUCAGGUAGUUGGUGUGGUAAUGGCGCACCAAGCCUUUGACGGGUGCCUGGUCUGAGAGGACGAUCAGGCAGACUGGGACUGAGACACGGCCCAGACUCCUACGGGAGGCAGCAGCAAGGAAUUUUCCCCAAUGGCCUAACGGCUGAGGGAGCAACGUCGCGUGCAGGACGACGGCCUUCGGGUUGUAAACUGCUUUUGGGCGGGAAGAUAAUGACGGUACCGCCCGAAUAAGCCCCGGCUAACUCCGU
rnacentral:rRNA from 1 species